GGCCCAUAAGUAUAUGCAGGCCAAAGAGGGCUGAAUCGUAUGUCGAUAGGAGAAUAGUCAAGCUCCCAACAAGAAAAAGUAUGCAUGAGAGGAUACAAGCCCAAGUCGAGAUGAAGUAGAAUCUUUUUGACCAGCGAAAGUUCUGCAACCGAAGAGUCCGCCACAGUACUACAACAACUAUGCUCUGGUGAUUGCCUCCCCGAUCUCAAAUCCUUAUAGAGAUCGAGGGACAGAGUUACCUUCGCUACC
rnacentral:lncRNA from 1 species